GGUCUCGUCGUCUAACGGCUAGGACAUCACCCUUUCACGGUGGGAAUACGGGUUCGAUUCCCGUCGGGACUA
rnacentral:tRNA from 1 species